UUAACUUCAGAGAUAGCAGUGAUAUAUUAGCCAGUCAAGGCUCUUGAACGUCCCACGAGCUACGUACCAAAGUAUAAAUUCGUACCAAACCAGAUAGAUAAAUACAUAAAUCCCUAUUACAAACUUACAAGCCAAGUAAUCGAAUUAGGGUUUACACAUUUUCCAGCUUCAAGUGGCAAUCCAAAAAAAAAAAAAAAAGGAAAAUACAUUAUCCCAAAUAACACAUUACAGCCCACAGAAUAAGUUAUAGUGUUCAAAUACAAUCCCAAAAGGAAAACAUAAGUAAGCAUCCAGCUUUCAGUUUCCAGAACCUGUUAAGGAAAACAAUAAACGUGGGGUGAGCUAAAGCUCAGUGGUGCCCCAAAACAUGCAAUCACGUAAUAACAAACAGCGGAUAAUAACUUAGCAAAUUUAAACAGUUAGGAAAGCGUAUAACAGCACAAGGUAGGAUACAUGAGCUCUCAGGAGCCAUUUUCCUCGCUUGAUCACCAUUUAUCGUAGUUGACCCUCCGUCAACUCUCACUACUUAUAAUCCAUGUAGAGCGUCUCAUUUUAAUACCUAACCCGUCACCAUUCAUACCCCUGUCCCGGGCCCGCACACCGACUAAGGACGCAGUAUACUCGAGAUAUACCCGUAGAUGAUUGGUCGAGGGAUUCACCCAACGACGUAACUACAUUUAGAUUUAUGGUAGUUAGAUUCACGCGUCGAGGGAUUCACCCAACGACGUAACUACAUUUAGAUUUAUGGUAGUUAGAUUCACGCGUCGAGGAAUUCACCCAACGACGUAACUACAUAUAGAUUCAUGGAUUCACGAGAAAAAUGAUUCACGCAAGUCACCACUCGAACGGCUAGUGCGAUAAAGUACACACUGCUCACUUCGAUGGAUCCAAAAACUAGUUUUGCAAAUUAUCACAUAUUGAGUCAAGAAAGCACUUUAACCAGGUAAGCAUAGAACAGGCAGGGACACUCACCAAGAGUGGAGUUCAGAUAUCAAGUUGGGAAUCGAAUUCCGUGUCCUCGCAGUAUCCUAAAAACCAAAUUUUGAAACUAUAAGUUUUUACUCAGUUUUUAAGCUUAUAGACAUUGAGGUAUAUCUAAUAUACUACUAGUUCACUUUCCCUUAGAAAAAUCAAGAGUCCCUUAGGUUAAAACUUGACAAAAGUAGAAGAAAUGUUUCCUAUAGUUUUCUUUAAGAUACUUUUCCUUAUAAAGGGUAACUAGUAUUAUUUUCUUGAAAUAAGUCGACCAACCUCUUAAUGUCUACGUUAGGAAGUUACUUAGAACAUUUCUUUAAAGCUAUGGUUCUUGCAAAAUUGUUACUAAAACUAUUUUUCCUAGAAUAAGGUUUCUUGCCGAGUAAGUUUCCCAUGCUUUUCACUAAAAUUAAUAAAACUCAUAUUUUGGAACUUUUCAUAUAGUUAACUAGCCAAGAGCAAUACUUAAUGAAAGAAAAGGAAUUAAAAUAAGACUUAGGGUUUUCAAAAGCUAUAGAAUUUAUUUACUAUAGCUAUCAAGGCUAGUUUGAGCUAAAGGAAAUUAUCGGGUUGGAAAGUUUUAGGCAAAACACUAGAUAUUGAGUUUUAUAAUUUAAUACUAACUGGAAAAUAUUUUUGAUUAAUUUGAUCAUAGUUACUCGAGUCCGCAAGGUAAAAACGACUUCCACAGCUCUGAUUCCAUUUCGAAAUCAUAUUAUGGAUCAAAUAUGGCAAAAUCACAUAGCAAAUCACUAGGGUUUCGUCAAUCAUUAGCCCUAGAUUUCAACAAAUGCAUUUCUGGUAAAAAUAAAAUGAAUGACCAAGGCUUCAUCAAUCAUUAGCACUUGGUUUCAGCAAGCUCAUCUUAAACAAAUAAAAAUAAAGGUAAGGCCUCCAAGAAAUUCCAGCAAUUAAAUUUCAUCACCCAGUAAUGCUUAUAAAAUUAUUCAAAUGGCCAAGGGCUUCAUCAAUCAUUAGCACUUGACAACACCAAUUACUUCCAACCACAAUUCAAUCAAGAAUUUAAACCACAAGUAAGCUAAAAGUUCGAUCCAAACCCAAUUUCAGUUUCAUGAAGAAACAGGACAUUCUUACAAAACAGUCUACUUUGAGGAUUCACAGAUAGCAGUACACAUGGAGGAAAAAUACGAAAUUUCUACAGGACAAAUGCCUAUGAUUCUAGUUUCAAAUGCCACUGACGGCGCCUUAAACGAAUUUUCCUACACCAAGAUAUAAACAUUUUAUUGAGACCAGUCAGUGAAAUCCGAAAAUCUGAAAACUAGUUUUUCACUUGUGAAAGACUCCUUUUUCUCUUUUAAAACCAUAAGACCUUUAUUCAAACCAUCCAUACAUUUACGUAUGACAUUCAUACUAGCAUAUACCAAGGCAAAUAAAUCUUAAUUCCGGUAAACGAUCCAGCCAAGAAACCACAAUAAAUCCGUCCUCAACUAGUUAAAUUUUCCAGCAGCUCGUUUAUCUUGGAUCAAAUUUUUCCUCAGCUAAAACAGUGUUUUAAGUUCUUAAAUUCAAUAUGCCAUCACUUAACUAAUUAAUUAACAUAUCUAACUCAGGAAUUAAAUUCGAUUAACGACAAAAUUCCUCCAAAAUUUCCAGAAAUUUCCUGCUUCAAACCUCGGUUGUUGUGGCAUGAAGACUGAUUGCAUUGUGAUUUUAUUUCGGUUCUAACCCAGCUAAUUAGCCACAUGCAAAGCUCAAUUAUCUUGUUAUUAGCUAGUUAGUUAAGGUUAUAGGCUCAAAGCAACAAGUUUAAACCAAAUGUAGCUACAUUAUUCAAGGCAAACUCUCGGCAGAAACUUUUCAUCAACACAGAAUUUUCCUAAGCUCCUUAAUACAUCAUCCAACUACAUAAAAUUAUCAUGCAAGGCCCUAAUCGUAUUAAUCAUCCAAGAUUUAAUUAGUUAAUCACCAUUGCAUGCUCAAAUUACUUCAGGGAAACAACAUUAAAGCUGCCUUUCCAAACCAGUUUCUCGGCUAAAGCAUUUUCUUCUCAAACAGAAUUUUCCUCUUAUGCUUUAACAUUAUCAUCCGAAUGCACAAAUCAACAUGCAUGGUCUUAAACAUCAAGUUUUCACACGGCUAAUUGCCCUUGGUGCUCGGAUUGCUAAGGGUGAAAAAAUAUUGGAGAUGCAUUUCUGAUUCCAGCUCACGGCCAGAAUUUGUCCCUUCGCACAGCAGUUUUUUUUUUCUUUUUUUUUUCCCAGUUCAUCAUCCAAUCGGUUAGCUUUACAUGCAUGCUCCUAAUAAACUCAAUCAACCUCUAAUUAGUUUAAUCUAGCUCAGAGGUUACCUCAGACUGUAGCUCACUCACCAGAAAUCUGAAAAUUUUCCUGUUCACCCUCUCGGCUCUCGGCUCGCACAAGUUUUGGUUGUGGUAGUUGCGGCUGGAAACUGGUUGCAGCUGACCGAGAUGGAGGUGCAGAAUGAUGAAGCUCACUCACGGUUUUCUCCCUGGUUUCACUCCAGCUCACGGACAGAACUAGAGAAUUUGGCAGCCGCGGUUUCCUCCUCUUCGAUACACACGAGGUGAGUCUCUCCCUCUCUUUUGCUCUCAGUCCGAAAACUGGAUGGAGUUAUGGAGUGUGUUGUGGUCUGAGGGGAAUUUGUGCAGAGAAAUGGAAUGGCGGUUUGAGAUAUGAAAUGGAAAGAGAGGUAUAUGGUUUGCGGUAAGUGAUAUGAGAAAGGAUUGAGUGAUAUUAAGAAGUAUUGUGGUGCCGUGGUUUA
rnacentral:lncRNA from 1 species